UGGAACCUCUUGUGUCUGAUGCUUCUCUCUGAAUUCUAGUAUUUCGUCUUGCUUCUUGUCUGAAAGUCUUCCUUCUCAUCUGAUUAUUUCACUCUGAUUUCCCAUCGAUGCUUGAUCGACGAGUUUUGGACUCAUCAAUAUGCUUUAGGAAAAUCUUGAAUCACCCAUUCAGGGUUAUUUGAUUUUGUGGUUUAUGUGGCAAAAUCGAAUCAGAAAGAUGAUGAAGAGGAAUGGGCCGGAUAACAAAAAGGGUCUUUUGAUUUUGUUGGUUUUCUACUAUUAUUCCAAGAAGCAACCACCCUAUGAUUCAUCAUCAUCAGCAUCAAAUCUGAUGGCUGAAAACUCAAAAACUUCAGCAUAUUAUCAAACAAGGGACUGUUGAAUGGACGUUAUGACAUGAUGGCGAUGGUGUCAAUGUAACAGAUCUUAAUUUUGGUUGGGGAUCUGAUAUGGUGAUCCUCAUCCCUCGGAAGAAAGCUUCUUUAUCUCGGCUUCCUUAAGGAUACUCCCAUUGGGACGAGUAUUUGUUCUUAGAGGGGGAUUGUCUUAUGAAACUUUCAUGUAAGUGUAAAAGUUCAUAGCUGAUUAUGGUGGAUUAUGUACGAGAUGACUAUGUAAUAAAACUUGGAUGAAAAUGUAA